GCCGAGGUAGCCUAGCCCGGAAAGGCGCCAGAUUCGAGAUCUGGUUCUCCUUCGGGAGAGCAGGGGUUCAAAUCCCUUCCUCGGCG
rnacentral:tRNA from 1 species